rnacentral:rRNA from 1 species
UACAGAGGUCUCAAGCGUUGUUCGGAUUUACUGGGCGUAAAGGGUGCGUAGGCGGUCGGGUAAGUCUGGUGUGAAAUCUUCGAGCUUAACUCGGAAACUGCAUUGGAUACUAUUCGGCUAGAGAGUUGGAGGGGGGAUUGGAAUACUUGGUGUAGCAGUGAAAUGCGUAGAUAUCAAGUGGAACACCAGUGGCGAAGGCGAAUCCCUGGACAACUUCUGACGCUGAGGCACGAAAGCUAGGGGAGCAAACAGG